GCCUCAGUUGCAACAGCUUUUGCAAGCAUUGUUUUACCAGUACCAGGGGGGCCAAAAAGCAGUAUUCCCUUGCAAGGCUUGGUCAGCUGUCCUUUACAAAACAAUUCAGGUCUUUGAAGUGGCAGCAUCACCAAUUCUUUCAAAGUAUCCUUGACAUUUUCCAGUGCUCCAAUGUCACAAAAAGUAACACCAAUAUCGCUAGGCGGAAUUACGUCCGCAAGUAGUCUCUUUUCAAAGUCAUUUUCAGUAACCACAUCCUUUAAAGAUUUUUUUAGACUCUUAGUUUCAUUGUGGAUCCCUUGGAAAAUAUUGACCCCAUAAGAAAUGCUUGCACUGGAGAUAACCAGCUUGACCUCUUCUACUGGCGAUUCAGUUUUGUGCAUAAAGUGAUGGCUCAAGGCCCAGCCUAUUAUCUUUUCCACACUCUCACUUGUUAACGCUUGAUCUUUUAUGCAUAAAGUUUCGAGGUCAGGGCAAUCAAUUCCUAUACGGUUCAAAACAUUGCGAAUGCUGACAAUGUUUGACUGAGAUUUCAAAGUUCCAAUAUCCCGUUCCAGCUGUUGUUUCCAGUCAGAUAAUAAUGCUUCAUCCUGAGGUAGUUGUAUGGUAACUUUGUUGGGGAAAAGACGGGUGAGCUGCUUCAUCGUUUUAGGAGUUUCUUUGCUUCUAUCAUGCAACCUACCAAAACUAUCUGGAAAAGCAAGGUCAAGCAAUGCUGUCUGGUUACUUCCAAACUUUGUAAACAGUAGUCCCCCGGGAUGUGAUUUCUCCUUUCGGCUGUCUGUUUGGGUAUGGGAAGCUAUGACAAUAACAUUCUCAGGUAAAUGUUCAAGCUUAAUCUUGAAAGCAGCAUAGGCCUCAGGAUUUCCCACCAUAGACUUCUCAAUGUCUUUGACAAAUAAAACUAAUGCACUAAUUUUACUUUCUUUUGAAGCAACCUCAAAAAGUUCAUCAAUGGCCAGUUUAUCAAUAUCAUCACUGUUUGAGCUAUCAAGGCGUAGAAAGUCGGCAGCACAAAAAAACCCAUGAUCUUCCUCGCAGCGACCACCAAGAUCAUUGCCCUCUGGAAUUGAUCUAUCAAACCUGAUCCCAAUCUUAGAGGACUCAUUAUCUUCAAAUGCAAGAACCACUUUGCCCCUGUAACCAUAUGUUGGACCCCUCAAAGGUGCUUGCAAGGGAGAAAAGCCUGACUGUAACGGACCAACAUACUUCACUCUGUCACCUUUCUUAAAAGUGUAGUUUUUGGAUGAUGCAGUAGAUGCCUCCUGCUUAGGCUGAGCAUGAGAACUUACUGUAGAACCACCAGUUAUAUCAGCCUCAACACUUGAAGCUGGCUUCUUAUUAAGGUGUAGUGCAGCCACCUGGGCAGCACGUUUAGCAAAGACACUUGCUCUCUCAGGCUUUGAACUUUCCUUCACAGAGUCAAUGUCUUUGGCAAUUGACCCACCAGGCAGUAAAAGAGAAUCAACUAUCAGUAGCCUGACACCAAAGUAUUUUGCAAGAGCCUUGGCCAAUGUCUCCUGAUAGAUUUCUGAACCUGCUGGACCUGAUAACAAAAUCCUAGGGCACAACGUGGGGAGAUCAGGUGCAUAUUUUAUGAAUUUGUGACACUUCAAAUGAACGUAAGUGGAAGAAAUCAGAACAUUCUUCGUGGUUUCACUCAAAUAGUACGGAAAAUUUUCAAACGAGACCUCAAUACUUUUUGAAUCAAGUAUUCCUUGUUGUAAUGCAUCUUUAAAAGCUUGGCGCCUGGUUGAUGUCAAAAUUGGCGGGUCAAGAUCUCUGAGUAAUUCCCGUAUUCCCCUCCGAUCUUCAAGAAUUUUGGAAAUGCUACCACUUAAAUCGAACUCAGAAGAUCCGGCAAGUACUCGCAGUAGAGGUCGCAAUUCCUGAGCUACCCCAGAGAUCUUCCCUAUCUCCGCAUCGACUGAAUCAAGUGCACCAUUAUCAAGAUUCAACUUCUCAUUUCCACUGUCAGGAGAUAUAACACCAGUCUUCUCACACAGUGAAACACCAGGCAAAUUGCUAAGGUUAGAAGCAUCCUUCAUUUCAGCAUCUAAAUCAUGUUUGUCUGACACUCCAUCUGCAGCUGGUAGUCUUGGCAAUUCCGAACUUUGUUGCAAAUCCUUACCAUUUUGAGAUGACGGCGAGAGAAGGGAAGACUCUUUCUGAAAAUUUGACAAAGAUGCGAGGGUUGAUGCCACCGCUACUGUGGAAGGGUCCCCUGACCUUGCCUCAAUGUGUAGUCCCUUGACUGAUCCACUAUGAGCCUCAAGUAUGCUGACUUGCCGUGGCAAACAAGAUUUGUUGUCGUUGGUGAUUUUUUCAAAUAUAUAAGCAUGAUCACCCGACGAGCCAAAAACCAUCUCAUCACCAUCAUUGAGAGGCACAGUAGAAUUUUUCGGGUAGACCUUGCCAUUGACUUGCACAUCACCUUUCUUGCCAGUAAUUUCAAGUAGAGUAAUGAAACCUCCUUUCUCUUGCUCAAUGUGCUUCAGAUUACAUAAAGAUUUGCUAACAGAAGGGUCUCCUAUCCACAAGUCACAUUGACGACCUUGACCAACAGAAUAUGUGGGAUGAUGCAUGACAACGUGAGGAUUUUGAGAGCACUGGGAAAUAAGCUUUCCCCAUGCAGCCCCAACAUUAGAUUUCAGCUGCCGCUUCUUUCCCCGGUUCAAUGCCGACCCGUUUGACUUGGAUUUAUCCACAUCAAUCGCAGAAUCACCUAAAGUCAUCGGUGAUACCAAAGGCUCGUUUGCCCCUUCAGUUUCCAUCGAUUUCUGUGGCGCAGCAGCAGCAGCCGGAGUAGCAGCAGCAUCAUCCGAUGAUUUCAAAACACUGGCUCCUACGAGAUCAGCUGAUCGAACCUCUUGCUCAGCAGAUUCCGGCCCUGAAUCAUUUACCCCACCCUUAGACCGCUUGCCAUUAUUCUGAAGAGAAGAUGAUGAUGGUGAAAGCGAACGCUUUGAUGAAGAAGAACUUCUUCUGGUCUCAACCAUGUUUGAUCUUCUUUACUUCUUCUUCUACAGAUCCAAAGAAUUAGAGAAGAAUGAAGCAAAAAAAAACGAUUUGGGUUUGUGUGUGAGAGAAAAA
rnacentral:misc_RNA from 1 species